rnacentral:rRNA from 1 species
AGGGAUGCUACCGGGCGACCGGAUGCGGAUCUCGAAAGCCUGUCCCAGUUCGGACUGGAGUCUGCAACCCGACUCCACGAAGUUGGAUUCGCUAGUAAUCGCGCAUCAGCCAUGGCGCGGUGAAUACGUUCCCGGGCCUUGUACACACCGCCCGUCAAGCCAUGGGAGCCGGGGGCGCCUGAAGUCCGGGACCGCGAGGACCGGCCUAGGGCGAAACUGGUAACUGGGGCUAAGUCGUAACAAGGUAUC